AUGGCGACCGGCGCACGGGUGAGUAACACGUAUCCAACCUGCCGAUAACUCGGGGAUAGCCUUUCGAAAGAAAGAUUAAUACCUGAUGGUAUAAUCAGACCGCAUGGUCUUGUUAUUAAAGAAUUUCGGUUAUCGAUGGGGAUGCGUUCCAUUAGGCAGUUGGUGAGGUAACGGCUCACCAAACCUUCGAUGGAUAGGGGUUCUGAGAGGAAGGUCCCCCACAUUGGAACUGAGACACGGUCCAA
rnacentral:rRNA from 1 species